GGUCUAUUAGCUCAAUGGUAGAGCACCUGUCUCCUACCCCCUGAAAAAAGGGAACAGGAGGUUGUGGGUUCGAGUCCCAUGUAGAUCG